UGCACCCUGGCAGGGAGCCAUCUGAA
rnacentral:piRNA from 1 species